AACGCGAAGAACCUUACCUGGGCUUGAACCGCUACUGACCAACGGUAGAAAUAUCGUCUUCCCGCAAGGGACAGUAGUAGAGGUGCUGCAUGGCUGUCGUCAGCUCGUGCCGUGAGGUGUUGGGUUAAGUCCCGCAACGAGCGCAACCCUUACUCGUAGUUGCUACCCGCAAGGGAGAACUCUACGAGGACUGCUCCGGAUAACGGAGAGGAAGGUGGGGAUGACGUCAAGUCAGCACGGCCUUUAUGUCCAGGGCUACACACGUGUUACAAUGCACGGUACAGACUGUUGCGAACCCGCGAGGGGGAGCUAAUCGGAUAAAAACCGUGCUCAGUUCGGAUUGCAGUCUGCAACUCGGCUGCAUGAAGCUGGAAUCGCUAGUAAUGGCGUAUCAGAUCGACGCCGUGAAUACGUUCCCGGGCCUUGUA
rnacentral:rRNA from 1 species